rnacentral:rRNA from 1 species
GAUGAACGCUGGCGGCGUGCCUAAUACAUGCAAGUCGAGCGAACGGACGAGAAGCUUGCUUGUCUGAUGUUAGCGGCGGACGGGUGAGUAACACGUGGAUAACCUACCUAUAAGACUGGGAUAACUUCGGGAAACCGGAGCUAAUACCGGAUAAUAUUUUGAACCGCAUGGUUCAAAAGUGAAAGACGGUCUUGCUGUCACUUAUAGAUGGAUCCGCGCUGCAUUAGCUAGUUGGUAAGGUAACGGCUUACCAAGGCAACGAUGCAUAGCCGACCUGAGAGGGUGAUCGGCCACCCUGGAUGUGAGACACGGUCCGGACUCCUACGGGAGGCAGCCGUAGGGAAUCUUCCGCAAUGGGCGAAAGCCUGACGGAGCAACGCCGCGUGAGUGAUGAAGGUCUUCGGAUCGUAAGACUCUGUUAUUAGGGAAGAACAUAUGUGUACGUAACUGUGCACAUCUUGACGGUACCUAAUCAGAGAGCCACGGCUAACUACGUG